UCCCAGACUCCUACGGGAGGCAGCAGUGGGGAAUAUUGCACAAUGGGGGGAACCCUGAUGCAGCGACGCCGCGUGAGUGAAGAAGUAUUUCGGUAUGUAAAGCUCUAUCAGCAGGGAAGAAAAUGACGGUACCUGACUAAGAAGCCUCGGCUAACUACGUGCCAGCAGCCGCGGUAAUACGUAGGAGGCAAGCGUUAUCCGGAAUGACUGGGCGUAAAGGGUGCGUAGGUGGUUUGACAAGUUGGUAGCGCAACUCCGGGGCUCAACCUCGGCACUACUACCAAAACUGUUGAACUUGAGUGCAGGAGGGGCAAAUGGAAUUCCUAGUGUAGCGGUGGAAUGCGUAGAUAUUAGGAGGAACACCAGUGGCGAAGGCGAUUUGCUGGACUGUAACUGACACUGAGGCACGAAAGCGUGGGGAGCAAACAGGAUUAGAUACCCCAGUACC
rnacentral:rRNA from 1 species